rnacentral:rRNA from 1 species
GUCUCAAAGAUUAAGCCAUGCACGUCUAAGUAUAAAUAUUUUACUUUGAAAUUGUGAAUGGCUCAUUAUAUCAGUUCUAAUUUAUUUGAUAGUCCCUUACUACUUGGAUACCCGUAGUAAUUCUAGAGCUAAUACAUGCGUCAAUACCCCUCUGGGGUAGUAUUUAUUAGAUGGAAACCAAUCCCUUCGGGGUGAUGUGGUGAUUUAUAAUACCUUGCGGAUUGUAUGGUAUUGUUGGUGAUGGAUUAUUCAAGUUUCUGCCCUAUUAGUUUUGGAUGGUAGGGUAUUGGCCUAUUAUGGCUUUAACGGGUAACGGAGGAUUAGGGUUUGAUUCCGGAGAGGGGGCCUGAGAGAUGGCCACCAUAUCUAAGGAAGGUAGUAGGUGUGUAAAUUACCCAAUCCUGACACAGGGAGGUAGUGACAAUAAAUAACAAUGACGGACCUUUCUAGGUCUGUCAAUUGGAAUGAGAACGAUUUAAACCCCCUAUCGAGGACCCAUUGGAGGGCAAGUCUGGUGCCAGCAGCCGCGGUAAUUCCAGCUCCAAUAGUGUAUAUUAAAGUUGUUGUAGUUAAAAAGUUUGUAGUUGGAUUUGUGGCGUCUCGCGUGGCCCAAUUGUUGGUGCUGCAGCGGGGUGCCAUCCUUGGGUGGAUUUUGUGUGGCAUUAGGUUGUCGCGCAGGGGAUGCCCAUCGUUUACUGUGAAAAAAUCAGCGCGUUCAAAGCAGGCUUACGCCGUUGAAUGUAUUAGCAUGGAAUAAUAAGAUAGGACCUUGGUACUAUUUUGUUGGUUUGCGCACUGGGGUAAUGAUUAAUAGGGACAGUUGGGGGUAUUCGUAUUGCAUUGUCAGAGGUGAAAUUUUUGGAUUUUUGCAAGACGAACUACUGCGAAAGCAUUUACCAUGGAUGUUUUCAUUAAUCAAGAACGAAAGUUAGGGGAUCGAAGAUGAUUAGAUACCAUCGUAGUCUUAACCAUAAACUAUGCCGACAAGGGAUUGGUGGGGUCUCGUUACGUCUCCAUCAGCACCUUAUGAGAAAUCACAAGUUUCUGGGUUCCGGGGGGAGUAUGGUCGCAAGGCUGAAACUUAAAGAAAUUGACGGAAGGGCACCACCAGGAGUGGAGCCUGUGGUUUAAUUUGACCCAACACGGGGAAACUUACCAGGUCCAGACAUAGUGAGGAUUGACAGAUUGAGAGCUUUUUUUUGAUUUUAUGCUUGGUGGUGCAUGGCCGUUUUUAGUUGGUGGAGUGAUUUGUCUGGUUAAUUUUGUUAAUGAAUGAGAUUGCUGCCUGCUAAAUAGUCUUGCGAGUGAAUUUUACUGGCGAGGUCUUCUUAGAGGGACGUGCAUCCUAUUCGAUGCAGGAAGAUAGCGGCGAUAAUAGGUCUGUGAUGCCCUUAGAUGUUCUGGGCCGUAUGCGCGCUACACUGAUGCAUUCAACGAGUUACCUUGGCCGAGAGGCCUGGGCAAUCUUUUGAAUGUGCAUCGUGAUAGGGAUAGAUUCUUGCAAUUUUUAAUCUUGAACGAGGAAUUCCUAGUAAACGCAGAUUAUUAAUCUGCAUUGACUACGUCCCUGCCCUUUGUACACACCGCCCGUCGCACCUACCG